CGGACGGGUGAGUAACGCGUGGGUAACCUGCCUCAUACAGGGGGAUAACAGUUAGAAAUGGCUGCUAAUACCGCAUAAGACCACAGUACUGCAUGGUACAGUGGUAAAAACUCCGGUGGUAUGAGAUGGACCCGUGUCUGAUUAGGUAGUUGGUGAGGUAACGGCCCACCAAGCCGACGAUCAGUAGCCGACCUGAGAGGGUGACCGGCCACAUUGGGACUGAGACACGGCCCAG
rnacentral:rRNA from 1 species